rnacentral:rRNA from 1 species
CACUCCUGCGGGAGGCAGCAGUGGGGAAUAUUGCACAAUGGGCGCAAGCCUGAUGCAGCCAUGCCGCGUGUAUGAAGAAGGCCUUCGGGUUGUAAAGUACUUUCAGCGGGGAGGAAGGUGUUGAGGUUAAUAACCUCAGCAAUUGACGUUACCCGCAGAAGAAGCACCGGCUAACUCCGUGCCAGCAGCCGCGGUAAUACGGAGGGUGCAAGCGUUAAUCGGAAUUACUGGGCGUAAAGCGCACGCAGGCGGUCUGUCAAGUCGGAUGUGAAAUCCCCGGGCUCAACCUGGGAACUGCAUUCGAAACUGGCAGGCUAGAGUCUUGUAGAGGGGGGUAGAAUUCCAGGUGUAGCGGUGAAAUGCGUAGAGAUCUGGAGGAAUACCGGUGGCGAAGGCGGCCCCCUGGACAAAGACUGACGCUCAGGUGCGAAAGCGUGGGGAGCAAACAGGAUUAGAAACCCGGGUAGUCCCAUGAU